CACAGCAUGGACAUGAGGGUCUCUGCUCAAUUCCUAGGGUUUCUGAUGCUCUGGCUCCAAAGUGCCAGAUGUGACAUCCAGGUUACUCAGUCGCCAUCCACCCUGUCUGUAUCUCUGGGAGACAGAGUCACCAUCACUUGUAAAGCAAGUCAGACUAUUACCAACCGUAUGGCUUGGUAUCAACAGAAACCAGGGGAAGUUCCUAAGGUCCUGAUCUAUGCUGCAUCCACUUUGCAAUCAGGAGUUCCCACGAGGUUCAGUGGCAGUGGGUCUGGGACAGAUUUUUCCUUUACCAUCAGUCAGCUGGUGUCUGAAGAUGUUGCCACAUAUUAUUGUCAACAAGGUUAUAGCUUGUACCACAGUGAUGGAAGUCAUGACAAAAACCACUCAUAG